rnacentral:rRNA from 1 species
GGGCCCGCACAAGCGGUGGAGCAUGUGGUUUAAUUCGAUGAUACGCGAGGAACCUUACCAGGGUUUAAAUGUAGAAUGACCGGGGUGGAAACACCCCUUUCUUCGGACAGACUACAAGGUGCUGCAUGGUUGUCGUCAGCUCGUGCUGUGAAGUGUCGGGUUAAGUCCCAUAACGAGCGCAACCCCCCAUUUCUAGUUGCCAGCGGUUCGGCCGGGGACUCUAGAGAAACUGCCAGCGUAAGCUGUGAGGAAGGUGGGGAUGACGUCAAAUCAUCACGGCCCUUACAUCCUGGGCCACACACGUGCUACAAUGGUAGGGACAACAGGUUGCCAACCCGCGAGGGUGAGCCAAUCCCAAAACCCUAUCUCAGUUCGGAUCGGAGUCUGCAACUCGACUCCGUGAAGUUGGAAUCGCUAGUAAUCG